rnacentral:lncRNA from 1 species
UGUUGCAGAGUUAACCAAUUUCUCCAUUUAAUUGUCAAUUGAUUAACCUAUUGAAAUGGUAAGUGACUCAGUUUCCUUCCAGAACAAACAGCAGCCACAUAUUGUAGCUUCAUCCAGCUGGAGGGGGUACUCUGUGAUUUGCUCAGACUCAAUGUGCUGGUAUUUUUCUACACCUCCCUGAGCUUUUAAUUAGAUGAACCAAUUUUACAUGUAUUUGUCUGCUGGAAAGGUUAUCUGUGCUGGAGCUGACCUGCAGAGACAAGGUUGAGCCUAGCGGUCUUAAUAGAAAAGGUUUUCAGCUAUGACUGCUGUACUUGAUUGCAUUGUAAUGGAGGAAGAAUUCCCUCUACGUACUUCUGUUCCUUUUUAUCUGGAGGAUACUCCAUGCAAGAGCACAUUUUAAUGCUGUUUCCUUCCAGAACGAGCCUAAAACUGUGCUCUAAAAGGAAGAUUGCGACAUUCUUAAUUCAGUUUUUCAAGUCGGAAUUGGUUUCGUGCGGUUACAUUCAUAGGAAAAAGCGUGGAAAAAAAAAGAAAGAAAGGGAACGGUGUGCCUCGGCUGGGGAGCGUGGUGGAGGCAGACGGCUCGGAAGAGACCUGUCGCAACGCUUGACUCCUUCUGCUCGUGCAGGUUUGGCACUUAAGCUAAUUUGUAAGCAUUUAGGGCCGGACUCUGAUCUCCCUCCUGCCACAGCCGCUCCACAGAGGCUGGCGAGCGCUUCCCGGCAGACGUGAGGUGGGGAACCCUGCCGGCUGGAUUUGGCCCCGUCUCCGCUGUUUUGUGCUGCUGGGUGUGGGUGUAAUUCUGACAAAGCGAGGUGCCGAAGGUGGAGCAUCUUCAGCAGUGGCACUGCACAGCCACAGGGAUUAACCCCAAGGCCUCAUCCUGCCAGACGGGAUGCUCUCCCCGAGGCUGGCAGGCAGGGGAGGGCUUUCAGUACUUUCCUGUGCCUCCUGCAGGGCUCAGCUUGAGGCUUGCAGACACCAACAAUGAGCCCAUUUCCCUGGAGACACCAGCCCAUGUCCCUCCAGGGCAAAGCUGGCACAAAAGCCGCAGCUGAUGGUGCCUCGCCAGGGACAUGAGUGGCUGUGUUGGCACAUUGUGGAGCAUUGUGGACACCCAUUGUUGGGUCUGAAGCCAUCGUGGCAGGCCAGCUGAUGGGGCAGAGCUCCUGGGAACCUCUUCAUCGAUGCUGUGCCAUCCUUUGGGGUCUCCUUUCCUUCUCAAGAACUCCAAGCUGCUGCCCUCUACAUCUCACCUGCCCCCCUGUAGACCUUCUUUUCCUUGGUGGUCAUGGCACAUCUGUUGAUGGCAGUUUGAGUACGCCCACACCGGUUGAGCAGUUUCACUUCCAGGAUCACACAUUGGUGUUCAAAGACUUUACUCGUAUUGUGAUGACUGAUGGAGGACCCCCUGGUUGGGCUGAUGCUGAAACAUUUUAAACGUGUUCUCCAGAAAGCUGUAGGUUUCUAUCAUGAAAGUAGAGCAGGGAUCCUGCUCUUAAACCCAUCGCAUAUGUUCAAGAAAUCAAACAUUUUGUGGACAUCAAUGAGGAAAGCCCCAGUGAUGACUCUGCCAAGUUUUAAGGUGUCUAUUGAUCUACUCACUGAAUGCUUUUCCUCUUAGAGAUUUUUUUAUAGCAGAAUAUAACUCAAAGAAGAGAAAAGUGCACUUCCUGGGAGCCCGUCAUGUCGCUUUCUUAAAUCAAAAUAAUUUAUAAGAUCAACUCUUCCAUGGGAAUUAAUUCCUAUAACACUUGCUGGACAUUGAAGAGGGGGGAACAAAUGUUAAUAACACAAGUGUGUGGUUCCUAUGAGAGAAGUGUGCAUGAAACAGAGGAUGUGAAUCUGCUUCAGCCCCAGAAAGCUACAGAAAUCAAUGCUUCAUUCAAGGCUAUUGAUCAGUACUAAAUUAAUUAGACUUCAAGGCUUAUGGCAGUUGAUAAGACAACUUGUUAAUUUAGUCAAUGAUAGUGUUUUCCCUAAAGCAGCAAAUACCCUCUUUCUCAGAAAAGACAUUUCUAGCACUUGCUACCCGACUUUCCCCCCUCCCCCUUUUAUUAAAAAAAAAAAAAUCACUUUACAUUUAAAUUAAGAUAAGAAUUGGAUGGGGGAGAUACUUCCAUUUACCCCUAUUUGCCUUCUUUUGCUCUAACGUAGGAGCAGGGUGUUGAUAACAUCUGAUGUAAUUUAAUAGGACGGCAGCAUAACAUUUAGCUUCUUCGACCCCGGCCCAUUGACAGCGAUGUUCAUUUGGGAAAGCUGCUGGGGGGAGGAGGAGGAGGAGGGAGCAGACCCACUUUUUUCUAACCGCGUUUUUAAAAUGGCAAGCCCAGGGCUUCUGCUUCCCAGGCAAGAAGGAUGCUUGUUGCUGCUGACAAAGGCACGGGCGCUGCCGGUGCUGCAAGCCGUGAAUGCGACGAAGGUAUCCCAGAAUACCCCGGACACCGGGCCGUACUUCCUGCUGGCUGGGAAGGACAAAAGGACAAAGCCGAAGGAGUGCCGGGGUCCCACCACCAGCUCUUGGAGGCACCAGUCUGCCACCAGCAGCACUCCAACCCUCGGAGAAUGCUAAUAAGCCACUGAAGAGCUCGGCUUUCCUGCCAUAAUUCUAUAGCGCCGUCGAGGACCCCAUAGUGUUCACUAAAUAAAGACAACUAAUUGAGAAUUUUUUGCA